CAGCCGCGCGGUAAUACGUAGGGGGCGAGCGUUGUCCGGAAUUACUGGGCGUAAAGGGCGUGUAGGCGGGUCAUUAAGUCAGGUGUGAAAGACCAGGGCUUAACCGUGGGAGUGCAUCUGAAACUGAUUACCUUGAGGGCAGGAGAGGAAAGUGGAAUUCCUAGUGUAGCGGUGAAAUGCGUAGAUAUUAGGAGGAACACCAGUGGCGAAGGCGGCUUUCUGGCCUGUACCUGACGCUGAGACGCGAAAGCGUGGGGAGCAAACAGGAUUAGAUACCCUGGUAGUCCACGCCGUAAACGAUGGGUACUAGGUGUAGGAGGUAUCGACCCCUUCUGUGCCGGAGUAAACACAAUAAGUACCCCGCCUGGGGAGUACGGCCGCAAGGUUGAAACUUAAAGGAAUUGGCGGG
rnacentral:rRNA from 1 species